CCCUGUGUCCGUUUGUCUCACACCUGGACACCUGCUCCAGAUGUAUUCUGCGAGGGACAGGAUCAAAACUGCACUUAAAAUCCUGAAAUAGAACCUGCAUUGCCUUCCCAUCAUCCAUGAGACGGGUGACCUUCUGUUAGGGAACCAGUGAGUGGGAGCCAGGGUGCGCUUGAGUUUCGGGAAUGCCGCAUCUCCUCGUCUCCUCAUUUCCCAGGCAGACCCUGCCACGAGGGCGUGGCCGAAGCGGCCCGAGGAUCCGGGCAUUCUUAGGAGAAUGCUGGGCAAGGGCCACAGGUCGGUGACUGCAGGAAAUUGCCAGCAGGGGAGGCAGCCUUCCUUCGUACCUGAUGUGGAUUCCCUUCCCCGGACAUCCUAGAGAUUUUUUUAGGAUUGGUGACUGAUAAACACAAUGUGUUUUGAUGGAUGGUUUUAGUUAGUGUUGCUUGUUUUGUUUUGGUUGUGGAACUAUUUAUCUUGGGUUUUUUUUGUGAGUAUUUUAAAUAAGGUUUGACACAGUGAGUAGGACUGUCAUGUAGUUUAUUUUUUGUGGAAACAUAAGUAUACCUUUAGGUUAUGAAAUUGACAGGACUACUUUAUUGACUACUUACCAAGUCUUUUUGAGGUUUUUGUAAGUCUGAUUUGAAA